rnacentral:misc_RNA from 1 species
AUCCAACACUAUUCUUCAUAUUCAAUUCUACAUAUAAUUAUUCUUUCAAGCCAUGUAAACGCAAUUGGAGAAUCUGCAAAUCCAAACCCAAGAACCAAACACUGUCUUCCUCGGACAAGAUUCAACAACUCAUUAGAGGAAGAUCAGAGGUUUUUACAGGCGGCGGCGAUUUCUUGAAACCCCUACUCCCAAAAAACAAGAACCCAAGAGUAUGACCUGCCACAGCCACCAAGAAAACACCACCAUUGAAGGACAUAACAGCCAACAUGACCAGGUAGGCCAAACCAAUCCUCAGAGCGUGCAAGAAAGUCUGGAUUAAACCGGCAGCUAGGUGGGUAGAAUCAGGCUUAAUCAAUUGGCAAUGAGAGAGCCACUCGACAAAAAAAGCAAAGAAAAAAACAGAUAUGAGGGCCAAAACAUACAUUCCAGUUCUAGUGCCAGGCCAGCCAUCGAAGAGAAUUUCAGCAUUCUUACCCCAGAAGAAGGUCAUAUGCAUCAUCAUCUUGUGGUGGGGACGCAUCAUCAUCCCUCCAGUGCUGUUGGUAUUGUUCAUGGUUGGACCCAUCCCUCCCAUACCAUGAUUACCAUGAUCCAUCUCUCUCUAGUACUGUUAACGUGUGUUUCUUGUUCUGCGAGGGUGGACGGCGAUGGUGGUGAAGGAGGUGGAAAAGGUGCAUACAAAGGGUAGUAUCUACUUAUGAUACAUAUAAAGAGAGAGGGUGUUGUGAACUUCUA